UGGAAAAGGCAUAUAGUUGCUUUUUUGUCCUUUUUCUUCUUUAAAGGACCAUACCUGUUUCAUAGUUGUUACAACUAUUUUUCGGGAGCACCACCAACCAUUUGCUGAAUGAAUUAUCAUAGUAGGCUUUCAUGUUGGUUUGACUAUAUUUGUUAUUUACUGAACUGCAAUUGUCAUAUCCAGUGCAGAUUUAUAUCUUUUGGUUGGCCUACACCAUUCCAUAUAUAUAUAUAUAUAUAUAUAUAUAUAUAUAUAUAUAUAUAUAUAUAUACAGGUUGAGUAUCCCAUAUCCAAAUAUUCCGAAAUACGGAAUAUUCCGAAAUACGGACUUUUUUGACUGAGAGUGAGAUAGUGAAACCUUUGUUUUUUGAUGGCUCAAUGUACACAAACUUUGUUUAAUACACAAAGUUAUUAAAAAUAUUGUAUUAAAUGACCUUCAGGCUGUGUGUAUAAGGAGUAUAUGUAACAUAAAUGCAUUCUGUGCUUAGAUUUAGGUCCCAUCACCAUGAUAUCUCAUUAUAGUAUGCAAUUAUUCCAAAAUACGGAAAAAUCCCAUAUCCAAAAUACCUCUGGUCCCAAGCAUUUUGGAUAAGGGAUACUCAACCUGUAUAUAUAAAAGCACAUCUGUUUCUGUGUACAGCACAAUGGCCGGGUGUGAGGAAGCACAAGGUGUCUGCUCGGGUGUACACCCUGGCAGAUCAUUGUAUUAGCUAGUUGCCUUUUAUAAUAUUACCUAUUGUAGGUAAUAUGUCAUAGAGAAACGUGCGGUGUUCUGGCAUCUUCUCCCUUAACAUCACUGAGGCCGCGUCAUGAUGUAGCCAGUGUUUGAAUGGUUGGUCCAUGUGGUGAAUGCGCUGAUCAUCUUACUGCUAAUGUUACCACCACGCCAGGGGCUGCCGUAUGGCGAGGAAUGCUUUACAAAUCAUUGUUACACCAAAUCUUACUUUGUGACACUGCUACAUGCGCCAAUUGGGCGCUGAUCCAUUAAUCGUACUGGCAGCAGUCUACCCCUUGGCGCCAUCUAUAGUCUGAUUGCGGUGGUGUAGCUACACCUGAAUUCUCCUACCAUCAAUGGCUGCAGAACACUCAAAUCUAUGACUACCCAAUUCCCACUGCUGUGCCCGUCCUGUCAGAAAGGUGGGAUUUUCAGGGCCGGGGUUAUAGGGAUAACCUGGGUUACGGUCAUAUCUGCGUGGGAGAUGUAUAUAAAUGAUCAUUUUGGGUAGGGUGCAGGCUUGGAACCUGUGCUAUCGCUCAGGCAGAGAAUUCCUUUGAUCAUUGAGAGGUGCAUUCCCACAAUGCAGGAUGAAUGUGUACGCACCAAACGCACAAGUGCUGCCAGUUGCCCCGGGAGACUGCGUGCCGGCACUCCUACAGAACAGGUGAUUGCCAUAUGCUGUGUCCAGGCGGGCAGCGCUCUGGUUUUGGUCACAAUGUGCCUUUCCAUGGUGACUGCAGAAAUGCUCUCUUCACCAAGCUCCAAAAAGCUUCGUUUUUCUCAAGUUUGGCCCCAGUAGCAGCUGACGCCAGUUAUCCCAUUGAAGCCUUUUAGUUACAUGUACCCACAGAUCUCUCGGAAUGCUGAGUGCCGGCAUCACAUACACAACCCAUAUGUAUGUAGUAUUUCCAAACAUACAAAGCAUCAAUCUUGGCUUCUCUGCUGCACCUAGGUGCACCAAGGUUUAUUAGCAUACGCCUUUCAUCUAUUGUUCUCAGCCGCAAUACAAUACAGAGAGGACAAUAGAGCAGAGGAUGAAGUCUGACUGCCCUGGCUCAAUCACUCUUAUUAAAGGGAUAGAUGAGCAGGGCUCCUUCUGUAUGUACCAGUUUGCUAUAUGCUCAUUGUCUCAUACGUCACCAGAAGUACUGACUCCCACCUUCCAAUGCGUUGCCCUCACUGUGCGGGGAGACACGAUGCAGAUGACGCCUUUCUUUAGAAGUACAUCUAUAUUUUCAUAGCCGCGUUCAAAACAAAUCUACUUCUGUGUACUGCAGACCAGGCGGCACAUUAUAAUGUCAGAGUGUGUAUUAUACACUAUUUGCAUUAAUCAUUUUAGCUUUGAAACAGAAUUUUAAGCCACGAGGAUACAGAAUAGUAGAAGGAGGGGGACCAAGUGGAAGAAUAAUGUGGGUGGGGGUUUCAAAAAAGGGACUAUAGUGUGUUUUGGUGGCAGGUUACACAGCUUUGUGUGCAUGAGUCCGUGCGUCAUGCCUUGUUUUAUAUAUAGUGACAGUACUUACCCUGUGCGAAGUGUAUAACUGCACCUGCAUCGGAACUGGCAGUGGGUAAGUCAGUAUUAAAGUCAUAGCGAAUAAAACAAUAUUGGCAAAGAGCCUCACUGAUGUUACUAAUGUACUGAUAUAUACUAUGUUAUUAUACAUACCGGAUCACGCACGGAACACUUGCUGUGCCUGUGUGUGGGCGGUGACCACGGAAUGCUUGCUGUGCCUGUGUGUGGGCGGUGACCACGGAACGCUUGCUGUGCCUGUGUGUAGGCGGUGCCCACGGAACGCUUGCUGUGCCUGUGUGUGGGCGGUGACCACGUAACGCUUGCUGUGCCUGUGUGUGGGCGGUGCCCACGGAACGCUUGCUGCGCCUGUGUGUGGGCGGUGACCACGGAACGCUUGCUGUGCCUGUGUGUGGGCGGUGACCACGGAACGCUUGCUGUGCCUGUGUGUGGGCGGUGACCACGGAACGCUUGCUGCGCCUGUGUGUGGGCGGUGACCACGGAACGCUUGCUGUGCCUGUGUGUAGGCGGUACGGGGAUCUCAGAUUGCACGUUGUAUAUCCGCACGCUGCCUCUCCAGCAAUUUGCACAUCUCAGAGUGGCUUAAUGAACGCCACAAGAGUUGCGCCAUACUAAUUACAAUGUUACUUAUCCAGACAAAUAAUUUUCGGAGUUUAAUGAUAAACACGUCAGGACCCACAAUGUGACUCUGAAGAGCAUCUCACGGGCUAUUACACAAAUGUGAUUUCUGGACAAACACACUCAGGAUUGGGGACUCUCUCCGCUGCAGCUGUACAGGUCAUUCUGUGUGGUCAGGGGGCGCUGCAGCUGUACAGGUCAUGUUAUGUGGUCAGGGGGCGCUGCAGCUGUACAGGUCAUGCUAUGUGGUCAGGGGGCGCUGCAGCUGUACAGGUCAUGCUAUGUGGUCAGGGGGCGCUGCAGCUGUACAGGUCGUGCUAUGUGGUCAGGGGGCGCUGCAGCUGUACAGGUCAUGCUAUGUGGUCAGGGGGCGCUGCAGCUGUACAGGUCAUGUUGUGUGGUAUGGGGGCGCUGCAGCUGUACAGGUCAUGUUGUGUGGUCAGGGGGCGCUGCAGCUGUACAGGUCAUGUGUGGUCAGGGGGCACUGCAGCUGUACAGGUCAUGUUGUGUGGUCAGGGGGCGCUGCAGCUGUACAGGUCAUGUGUGGUCAAGGGGCGCUGCAGCUGUACAGGUCAUGCUGCGUGGUCAGGGGGCGCUGCAGCUGUACAGGUCAUGUUGUGUGGUCAGGGGGCGCUGCAGCUGUACAGGUCAUGUGUGGUCAGGGGGCGCUGCAGCUGUACAGGUCAUGUUGUGUGGUCAGGGGGCGCUGCAGCUGUACAGGUCAUGUGUGGUCAGGGGGCGCUGCAGCUGUACAGGUCUUGCUGGGUGGUCAGGGGGCGCUGCAGCUGUACAGGUCAUGCUGGGUGGUCAGGGGGCGCUGCAGCUGUACAGGUCAUGCUGGGUGGUCAGGGGGCGCUGCAGCUGUACAGGUCAUGCUGGGUAGUCAGGGGGCGCUGCAACUGUACAGGUCAUGCUGUGUGGUCAGGGGGCGCUGCAGCUGUACAGGUCAUGCUGUGGUCAGGGGGCGCUGCAGCUGUACAGGUCAUGCUGUGGUCAUGGGGCGCUGCAGCUGUGCAGGUCAUGCUGUGUGGUCAGGGGGCACUGCAGCUGUACAUGUCGUGUUAUGUGGUCAGGGGGCGCUGCAGCUGUACAGGUCAUGCUAUGUGGUCAGGGGGGCGCUGCAGCUGUACAGGUCGUGUUAUGUGGUCAGGGGGCGCUGCAGCUGUACAGAUCGUGUUAUGUGGUCAGGGGGCGCUGCAGCUGUACAGAUCGUGUUAUGUGGUCAGGGGGCGCUGCAGCUGUACAGGUCAUGCUAUGUGGUCAGGGGGCGCUGCAGCUGUACAUGUCGUGUUAUGUGGUCAGGGGGCGCUGCAGCUGUACAGGUCAUGCUAUGUGGUCAGGGGGCGCUGCAGCUGUACAGGUCGUGUUAUGUGGUCAGGGGGCGCUGCAGCUGUACAGGUCGUGCUGUGUGGUCAGGGGGCGCUGCAGCUGUACAGGUCGUGCUGUGUGGUCAGGGGGCGCUGCAGCUGUACAGGUCGUGCUGUGUGGUCAGGGGGCGCUGCAGCUGUACAGGUCGUGUUAUGUGGUCAAGGGGCGCUGCAGCUGUACAGGUCGUGUUAUGUGGUCAGGGGGAGCUGCAGCUGUACAGGUCGUGCUAUGUGGUCAGGGGGCGCUGCAGCUGUACAGGUCGUGUUAUGUGGUCAGGGGGCGCUGCAGCUGUACAGGUCGUGCUAUGUGGUCAGGGGGCGCUGCAGCUGUACAGGUCAUGCUAUGUGGUCAGGGGGCGCUGCAGCUGUACAGGUCGUGCUAUGUGGUCAGGGGGCGCUGCAGCUGUACAGGUCGUGUUAUGUGGUCAGGGGGCGCUGCAGCUGUACAGGUCGUGCUAUGUGGUCUGUGGGCGCUGCAGCUGUACAGGUCAUGCUAUGUGGUCAGGGGGCGCUGCAGCUGUACAGGUCAUGCUAUGUGGUAUGGGGGCGCUGCAGCUGUACAGGUCGUGCUAUGUGGUCAGGGGGCGCUGCAGCUGUACAGGUCGUGUUAUGUGGUCAGGGGGCGCUGCAGCUGUACAGGUCGUGCUAUGUGGUCAGGGGGCGCUGCAGCUGUACAGGUCGUGUUAUGUGGUCAGGGGGCGCUGCAGCUGUACAGGUCGUGCUAUGUGGUCAGGGGGCGCUGCAGCUGUACAGGUCGUGCUAUGUGGUCAGGGGGCGCUGCAGCUGUACAGGUCGUGUUAUGUGGUCAGGGGGCGCUGCAGCUGUACAGGUCAUACUAUGUGGUCAGGGGCUCUCAGGAGGUCAAUAAUGUCAUGUAAAUAGGGCUAUGAAACCCGUCACUCGGUUUGGGUUUAUUUAUUUUCCAAUGGUGGCUACUGGGUUAGGCCAGCCCUGCGGCAGGUGCGGCAGCUCAUUCACUUCUCAGUGGCUUCCACGCGGUAAUGGCCUUUUCAUGGCUCGCUGUACAGUAUUGGAACAAUAAGGGUGUAAGUGGCUUAUAACUGUAAUCAUACACAGUGUCUUACAUAGGAUAACGCCAGCGUCACGCAGGUCAGUGUAUGGCGGUCACUGGUGGUCUCGCUCAGAGAAGCAGGCGACUUUGGGUUCCCAUUACUCUCCCAGUGGUGGUUUACCUGUACGAUACAUGGAGCAGUCAGGUGACCAGUUCCUCUUCUAGGUCUUGGCCCGCCUCUUUCUGUUUAUAUCGUGUGCCAAUAAAUCACCUCCGACUCCACAUGGAGAACCAGUUAUGUUCCUGAUUUUGUUUUUAUUUUGUUAUUCUUUAAAUGAUUAUUGCUGUGUAUUAUGAACUGUUAAAAGUCCUAAAUAAAACAAGUAUUAAAGCAC